ACUGCUUUGAACAUCGACAUCUUGAACGCACAUUGCGGCCAUGGGCUAGCUCAUGGCCACGCCUGUCCGAGGGUCGGCUUAUAAACUAUCACGACGCCCAAAAAGUCGUGGCUUGGGUCUUGCCAGCUGACGUGAUUUCCCUAUUGGUGCAAACUAACGGGGUGUCAGAUCUAUGGCGUUUCCCUAAUAAUUCCAGUUACAACUCCUUUUGGCUGAAGGCCAUAUUGGAGGGUGACUGUGGAGUCGUGGCUCAAUGGUAAUGUUUGCGCGCGCUCUGCAUUGUCACCACUGUAUCUGUUAAACGUGAAAUGCUUUCUGCAUUUUACCUGACCUCGGAUCAGACGUGAAUACCCGCUGAACUUAAGCAUAUCACUAAGCGGAGGAAAAGAAACUAACAAGGAUUCCCUCAGUAACGGCGAGUGAACAGGGAAAAGCCCAGCACCGAAGCCUGUGGCCAUUUGGUCAUUAGGCAAUGUGGUGUUUAGGUCGUUCCACAGAAGUUCUGCUCCAUCCUAAGUCCAUCAAUGAGUACGGUAGUACGGACAUGGCCCAUUGAGGGUGAAAGGCCCGUGGGGGUGGAGACAUCGAAAGGCCAGAACUUCUCUGGGUAGACCUUGGAGUCGGGUUGUUUGUGAAUGCAGCCCAAAGUGGGUGGUAAACUCCAUCCAAGGCUAAAUACUUGCACGAGUCCGAUAGA
rnacentral:rRNA from 1 species